GGCGUAGCUCAGUUGGUAGAGCUCCGGGUUGUGAUCCCGGCGGUCGUGGGUUCAAUCCCCAUCGUC
rnacentral:tRNA from 1 species